rnacentral:rRNA from 1 species
AUACGAAGGUCCCAAGCGUUAUUCGGAAUCACUGGGCGUAAAGAGUACGUAGGCGGUUUGGUAAGUCAGGUGUGAAAUCCCGGAGCUCAACUCCGGAACUGCAUCCGAUACUGCCAGACUUGAGUAAUGGAGAGGCAGGUGGAAUUCUCGGUGUAGCAGUGAAAUGCGUGGAUAUCGAGAGGAAGACCAAUGGCGAAGGCAGCCUGCUGGACAUUUACUGACGCUGAGGUACGAAGGCUAGGGGAGCGAAAGGGAUUAGAUACCCGAGUAGUCC